AGAGUUUGAUCCUGGCUCAGGACGAACGCUGGCGGCGUGCCUAAUACAUGCAAGUCGAACGCUUCUUUUUCCACCGGAGCUUGCUCCAUCGGAAAAAGAGGAGUGGCGAACGGGUGAGUAACACGUGGGUAACCUGCCCAUCAGAAGGGGAUAACACUUGGAAACAGGUGCUAAUACCGUAUAACAAUCGAAACCGCAUGGUUUUGAUUUGAAAGGCGCUUUACGGUGCCGCUGAUGGAUGGACCCGCGGUGCAUUAGCUAGUUGGUGAGGUAACGGCUCACCAAGGCCACGAUGCAUAGCCGACCUGAGAGGGUGAUCGGCCACAUUGGGACUGAGACACGGCCCAAACUCCUACGGGAGGCAGCAGUAGGGAAUCUUCGGCAAUGGACGAAAGUCUGACCGAGCAACGCCGCGUGAGUGAAGAAGGUUUUCGGAUCGUAAAACUCUGUUGUUAGAGAAGAACAAGGAUGAGAGUAACUGUUCAUCCCUUGACGGUAUCUAACCAGAAAGCCACGGCUAACUACGUGCCAGCAGCCGCGGUAAUACGUAGGUGGCAAGCGUUGUCCGGAUUUAUUGGGCGUAAAGCGAGCGCAGGCGGUUUCUUAAGUCUGAUGUGAAAGCCCCCGGCUCAACCGGGGAGGGUCAUUGGAAACUGGGAGACUUGAGUGCAGAAGAGGAGAGUGGAAUUCCAUGUGUAGCGGUGAAAUGCGUAGAUAUAUGGAGGAACACCAGUGGCGAAGGCGGCUCUCUGGUCUGUAACUGACGCUGAGGCUCGAAAGCGUGGGGAGCAAACAGGAUUAGAUACCCUGGUAGUCCACGCCGUAAACGAUGAGUGCUAAGUGUUGGAGGGUUUCCGCCCUUCAGUGCUGCAGCUAACGCAUUAAGCACUCCGCCUGGGGAGUACGACCGCAAGGUUGAAACUCAAAGGAAUUGACGGGGGCCCGCACAAGCGGUGGAGCAUGUGGUUUAAUUCGAAGCAACGCGAAGAACCUUACCAGGUCUUGACAUCCUUUGACCACUCUAGAGAUAGAGCUUCCCCUUCGGGGGCAAAGUGACAGGUGGUGCAUGGUUGUCGUCAGCUCGUGUCGUGAGAUGUUGGGUUAAGUCCCGCAACGAGCGCAACCCUUAUUGUUAGUUGCCAUCAUUUAGUUGGGCACUCUAGCAAGAC
rnacentral:rRNA from 1 species